rnacentral:tRNA from 1 species
GGGGCGUUAGCUCAGCUGGUAGAGCAGCGGACUCUUAAUCCGUAGGUCGAGUGUUCGAGUCACUCACGCCCCACCA